GAUGAACGCUGGCGGCGUGCCUAAUACAUGCAAGUCGAGCGAAUGGAUUAAGAGCUUGCUCUUAUGAAGUUAGCGGCGGACGGGUGAGUAACACGUGGGUAACCUGCCCAUAAGACUGGGAUAACUCCGGGAAACCGGGGCUAAUACCGGAUAACAUUUUGAACCGCAUGGUUCGAAAUUGAAAGGCGGCUUCGGCUGUCACUUAUGGAUGGACCCGCGUCGCAUUAGCUAGUUGGUGAGGUAACGGCUCACCAAGGCAACGAUGCGUAGCCGACCUGGGAGGGGAAUCGGCCACACUGGGACUGCGACACGGCCCAGACUCCUACGGGAGGCAGCAGUAGGGAAUCUUCCGCAAUGGACGAAAGUCUGACGGAGCAACGCCGCGUGAGUGAUGAAGGCUUUCGGGUCGUAAAACUCUGUUGUUAGGGAAGAACAAGUGCUAGUUGAAUAAGCUGACACCUUGACGGUACCUAACCAGAAAGCCACGGCUAACUACGUGCCAGCCGCCGCGGUAA
rnacentral:rRNA from 1 species